GAUGAACGCUGGCGGCGUGCCUAAUACAUGCAAGUCGAGCGGACGGACGAGAAGCUUGCUUCUCUGAUGUUAGCGGCGGACGGGUGAGUAACACGUGGAUAACCUACCUAUAAGACUGGGAUAACUUCGGGAAACCGUAGCUAAUACCGGAUAAUAUUUUGAACCGCAUGGUUCAACAGUGAAAGACGGUCUUGCUGUCACUUAUAGAUGGAUCCGCGCUGCAUUAGCUAGUUGGUAAGGUAACGGCUUACCAAGGCAACGAUGCAUAGCCGACCUGAGAGGGUGAUCGGCCACACUGGAACUGAGACACGGUCCAGACUCCUACGGGAGGCAGCAGUAGGGAAUCUUCCGCAAUGGGCGAAAGCCUGACGGAGCAACGCCGCGUGAGUGAUGAAGGUCUUCGGAUCGUAAAACUCUGUUAUUAGGGAAGAACAUAUGUGUAAGUAACUGUGCACAUCUUGACGGUACCUAAUCAGAAAGCCACGGCUAACUACGUG
rnacentral:rRNA from 1 species